rnacentral:rRNA from 1 species
CAGAGGUGGCAAGUCGUUGUUCGGAAUUACGUGGGCGUAAAGGGCGCGUAGGCGGCCGCCUAAGUCAGACGUGAAAUCCCCAGGCUUAACUUGGGAACUGCGUCUGAUACUGGGUGGCUUGAGUUCGGGAGAGGAAUGUGGAAUUCCAGGUGUAGCGGUGAAAUGCGUAGAUAUCUGGAGGAACACCGGUGGCGAAGGCGGCACUCUGGACCGAAACUGACGCUGAGGCGCGAAAGCCAGGGGAGCAAACGGGAUUAGAUACCCCGGUAGUCCUGGCCCUAAACGAUGAGUGCUUGGUGUGGUGGGGUAUCGAUCCCUGCCGUGCCGAAGCUAACGCAUUAAGCACUCCGCCUGGGGAGUACGGUCGCAAGGCUG